CACGUAGGGGCCAAACGUUGUCCGGAUUCAUUGGGCGUAAAGGGCUCGUAGGCGGUUCAACAAGUCGGUCGUGAAAAUCCGGGGCUCAACCCCGGGACGCCGGUCGAAACUGUUGUGACUAGGGUUCGGUAGAGGUGAGUGGAAUUCUCGGUGUAGCGGUGGAAUGCGCAGAUAUCGAGAGGAACACCCGUUGCGAAGGCGGCUCACUGGGCCGAUACCGACGCUGAGGAGCGAAAGCGUGGGGAGCAAACAGG
rnacentral:rRNA from 1 species